rnacentral:rRNA from 1 species
UAAUACAUCGGAACAUGUCCAGUAGUGGGGGAUAGCCCGGCGAAAGCCGGAUUAAUACCGCAUACGAUCUAYGGAUGAAAGCGGGGGAUCGCAAGACCUCGCGCUAUUGGGGUGGCCGAUGGCGGAUUAGCUAGUUGGUGGGGUAAAGGCCUACCAAGGCGACGAUCCGUAGCUGGUCUGAGAGGACGACCAGCCACACUGGGACUGAGACACGGCCCAGACUCCUACGGGAGGCAGCAGUGGGGAAUUUUGGACAAUGGGGGCAACCCUGAUCCAGCAAUGCCGCGUGUGUGAAGAAGGCCUUCGGGUUGUAAAGCACUUUUGUCCGGAAAGAAAACCUUUUCGCUAAUACCGAG